AUUCAGUAUCGAUAGUAUUCCAUAAAUAUCUAACAGAAUUGCAUUUUUCGCCCAUUACUCUCAACUUGUAUAGUACUUGACGAUCAACAUCCAGUGACAUAGACCUAAUAUACCGGACAAGAUUAUUCAAAGAAUUUAACCUACAGGACAGAUGCUGCAUUAAAGAAGCAAAUAAUGGGGGUAAAUGAGUAGACCUUGAAUUCAAGAUGUCCAUUCCAAGAUCGACAAUAAUCCUUUCGAGUUCAGGCUUUUUGAUGGAGCGAAGGUAAUUGCAGGAAAAAUCGAUCGGAUUACCAGGAAGGAAGGAGUAAAAAACAGCUUCUUCCAACUUGCUUUUUACGAGAGAUUCGUUAUUUGCAGGAUGCUCCAAACUAUGAACUUCUAUUUCAGCGAUACCAGAAUAAGGGGUUGCUA